rnacentral:rRNA from 1 species
GAGUUUGAUCGUGGCUCAGAUUGAACGCUGGCGGCAUGCCUUACACAUGCAAGUCGAACGGUAACAGGUCUUCGGAUGCUGACGAGUGGCGAACGGGUGAGUAAUACAUCGGAACGUGCCCGAUCGUGGGGGAUAACGGAGCGAAAGCUUUGCUAAUACCGCAUACGAUCUACGGAUGAAAGCAGGGACCGCAAGGCCUUGCGCGGACGGAGCGGCCGAUGGCAGAUUAGGUAGUUGGUGGGAUAAAAGCUUACCAAGCCGACGAUCUGUAGCUGGUCUGAGAGGACGACCAGCCACACUGGGACUGAGACACGGCCCAGACUCCUACGGGAGGCAGCAGUGGGGAAUUUUGGACAAUGGGCGAAAGCCUGAUCCAGCCAUGCCGCGUGCAGGAUG